AAAGCCGCAACCAUUAGCGUUUCCAUCUCUCAUGCCGCUACUCUUUCAUCUUGUUCUGGCCAAAUCUGUUGAGCCCUUAACAUGUUUGCCUCGACGGUGAGUGGUACAAUUUAAGUUUUUUCCAGGGAACUUGCUGUUUGGAUUCUGAGAAACUAGUGAUGAAAUUUUUUUCUUUUUGAGGUCUUCUAUUUUCUUUUUAAGUGAGCGUAAUUGCUUUGUUAUUCUUAUUAUGCUUAUUUUGUAUGUGUUUUUAUGCUUAUUGUUACUGGAAAUCUUGCCAUUG
rnacentral:misc_RNA from 1 species